AUUGAACGCUGGCGGCAUGCUUUACACAUGCAAGUCGAACGGUAACAGGGUGCUUGCACCGCUGACGAGUGGCGAACGGGUGAGUAAUGCGUCGGAACGUGCCGAGUAGUGGGGGAUAACGCAGCGAAAGUUGUGCUAAUACCGCAUACGUACUGAGGUAGAAAGUGGGGGACCUUCGGGCCUCACGCUAUUCGAGCGGCCGACGUCUGAUUAGCUAGUAGGUGAGGUAAAGGCUCACCUAGGCGACGAUCAGUAGCGGGUCUGAGAGGAUGGUCCGCCACACGGGGACUGGGACACGGCCCAGACUCCUUCGGGAGGCAGCAGUGGGGAAUUUUGGACAAUGGGCGAAAGCCUGAUCCAGCCAUGCCGCGUGUCUGAAGAAGGCCUUCGGGUUGUAAAGGACUUUUGUCAGGGAGGAAAUCCCUAGUGCUAAUAACACUGGGGGAUGACAGUACCUGAAGAAUAAGCACCGGCUAACUACGUGCCAGCCGCCGCGGUAA
rnacentral:rRNA from 1 species